rnacentral:rRNA from 1 species
UACAGAGGGUGCGAGCGUUAAUCGGAAUUACUGGGCGUAAAGCGUGCGUAGACGGUCGCGUAAGUCAGAUGUGAAAGCCCCGGGCUCAACCUGGGAAUUGCAUUUGAGACUGCUCUGCUCGGGUGCGGAAGAGGGAAGCGGAAUUUCCGGUGUAGCGGUGAAAUGCGUAGAUAUCGGAAGGAACACCAGUGGCGAAAGCGGCUUCCUGGUCCGACACCGACGGUCAGGCACGAAAGCGUGGGGAGCAAACAGG